GAUGAACGCUGGCGGCGUGCCUAAUACAUGCAAGUCGAGCGAACAGACGAGGAGCUUGCUCCUCUGACGUUAGCGGCGGACGGGUGAGUAACACGUGGAUAACCUACCUAUAAGACUGGGAUAACUUCGGGAAACCGGAGCUAAUACCGGAUAAUAUACUGAACCGCAUGGUUCAAUAGUGAAAGACGGUUUUGCUGUCACUUAUAGAUGGAUCCGCGCCGCAUUAGCUAGUUGGUAAGGUAACGGCUUACCAAGGCAACGAUGCGUAGCCGACCUGAGAGGGUGAUCGGCCACACUGGAACUGAGACACGGUCCAGACUCCUACGGGAGGCAGCAGUAGGGAAUCUUCCGCAAUGGGCGAAAGCCUGACGGAGCAACGCCGCGUAAGUGAUGAAGGUCUUCGGAUCGUAAAACUCUGUUAUUAGGGAAGAACAAAUGUGUAAGUAACUAUGCACGUCUUGACGGUACCUAAUCAGAAAGCCACGGCUAACUACGUG
rnacentral:rRNA from 1 species